rnacentral:snoRNA from 1 species
AGGACAUACGAAUAACAGAAAUGUUAUGCCCCAUAUCAUGGGCAUCAGCAAUGCCAAGUAUUUUUGGAGGACUUGUAACUUGUGAUUACAGUUUACAGUUCUAUU